rnacentral:lncRNA from 1 species
GCUUGUGGAGGUCCGUAAAACAACUGCGGAUACUACAGAGUAUAAAGAUGGCACCCCAAGUUGGUGAUGACGACAAUGGAAGGUGCAGGUAAAGGCAACCGAGACCAGCUGCAAUAUUUAACGGCGAACCCAAAGCUAGCCCCAAAAGAAAAGGAAGAGAAAUGAAAAAGCCCAGCGUGGGAGGUUAGGGGUACGUCAUCCUAGGGAGAGGAUGCGUUACAGCUG